UACGGAGGGUGCAAGCGUUAUCCGGAUUCACUGGGUUUAAAGGGUGCGUAGGCGGGCAGUUAAGUCCGUGGUGAAAUCUCUGAGCUUAACUCAGAAACUGCCAUGGAUACUAUCUGUCUUGAAUAUUGUGGAGGUAAGCGGAAUAUGUCAUGUAGCGGUGAAAUGCUUAGAUAUGAACACAGAACACCGAUUGCGAAGGCAGCUCACAAAAACUAUAACUGACGCUAGGCACGAAAAGCGUGGGUAUCAAACAGG
rnacentral:rRNA from 1 species